rnacentral:lncRNA from 1 species
UCACAAUAAGCAGACAGAAAAGCCAGUUUUGACUUGAUUCCAAAUCUGCCACUGCAGUUCAUCAACUAUUUUAUUGCUGAUUGUAUUCACAAUUUUUUUUUGUUGACUUUUUGACCUCCAAGAGUAACUAAUUUCUCCUUAUAAUAACAAUUCUGAAUCAUGCAUUACAUUGUAAGGCUGCAAUGAAGGAAAUCAUGAUGAUCACCAACUUAAGAAGCUCUUGAUUGUGAAACAGUUUCUUCUUGUCAGCACAUAAGGAAAUUUACAGAGAACAGUAUGGAGAAUAUGCAAACUGAUGUUAGGGUGGUAAGGGUGAAAGGAAAUGUUGCACAGGGUUCUCAUUAAGUGCCAGCUGCUGGCUUGAAAAAUCAGCUACUAACUUUGAUUUCUGAGCAGCUUACUUCUAUGUAAAACAACAUGAUUGUACACUGUAAUUAACAUUGAAACAAGCCACUUCUAAAAAAAAAUUAAUGAAUAGACAACUUCAUUUAAAUUUGUUUUUGCAUUUAACAAAUUGUGCUUUUACAUUUCCUUGCUGUUUGAGCCCUCAUCUCAUCUCUACUCACGUUUGCCUAGCCAACCAACCCCUGUCUUGCUUUGCAGAUGUCUUUAAAAAAAAUGUUUAAAGUAGCAUUCGAGAGCAUUUAUAUGGGGGAGGAUUUAUGUGGGAGAGACUAUGAGCGUUGACCCCAGGAAGGUGCUCUUGAAUUGUCAGCUGUUUACUCCACGCAGCUGGCCAUCUACUCCUUGACUUAGCGAGAACCCUGUGUGCAUGUUUCACACUUUCACUUUGCAGGCAAAAUGUGUAUAGGUGGUGAAAAUGACAUGCAUUUAAAAUGCAUGUUUCUCUUAUGCAUUUGAGAAUUAUUUUGCAUGCGAUGAAUUUAACUUGUGACAGUUUGUUACUCAAUGGGAAAAAAAACUAAUGGAAAUUAUCCUGUUUCUUUUUCAGGUGGAAUGAGGAGUACAGUUUACAAACAGUGCAACACAGUUGAUUGACAUUUAUUUUAAGCUGGUCCUUUCUUUGUUAGGACGAAUUAUUGCUCUUUGAAGACAUUGAGGAAUUGUUUGUGAUGUCAACGCGGAGUUAAAGUUAGAAGUUGAUAGUGUUGCCGUUCUGAUCACAGGUUAGAAAGUUGUGGAUGUUGCAUAUAUAUUCAAUAUAUCCCAAAGAGAACCAUUUUCUGCAGUCAGUUAUUUUUUAGGUCACUGUGUUCACUGAUAGUUCGGAUGAACAAAUUAAAAUCAAUUUUAGUUGUCUUUCGACAGGCUGUGUUUCACUGAUAUUGCUAGAUAGGCUAUGUCAAUUUUUCUUAACAUGCUCAGCCCUUUCAGAAAUUCACUUGCCAAACGCAACAAAUUAUAUGCAAGUUCGAUUCCAAGAGUGAAUUUCACGCUGUGCAACGAUAUGGGAAAAAAGAAAUAGGAGGAACAAAAUUUAUUUAUUGCCUUCUGUUAGAGGAUCAUCCAGGAAACAAAAGUAGCUCUAGUUUUAUUAACCCUUUUUACCACAAUAUUGGUAUAGUUAUGUUCUUUUAUUAUUAUUUCAUUUCACUGUUGUAGAUAUUCCGAAAUUUGCUGUGGAGCAUUCUAGCCAAUUUGUUUAUCUUUUUUGUUCUCAAAUUGUUUUUGUUUUUUUCUUUUUGCGGAAGACCAAUUUUUCUUUAAGACUAUCUUCAUGAAAGAGUUGCUAGUGAUGCCAACAGGGAUUGAAAAUUUCAAGCUAAUAGAGUUGAUGGUGUGAUUACAGUGUCGAGAACUUAAGAUAGCUUCACACCGAGGAAGAAAGAUGUUAGAUUCCAGCCAGGAAGUCGAUAGGAAUAAAAUGUCAGAAAUUA